UGAAAACAAAACAAGCACUACAAGUUUCAGUUCUGUGGUUAAAAGAAGAUGUUUGCCUUGUAGAUCAAAUUUAACAUUCAAUUGAAAAGGUACUUCAACGGGGUAUUGAAAAGCUACAGCUGUAGUCGGCUACAACAAUACAAUGACAUAGGGAAAAAUUUUAUGUUUGCCAGACCUACAAAUUAUAUGUAGGCCAAAUAGCGGCUUCAAGAAGGUCUUCAAAAUUACUAGAAUAGCCCUCCAGAAGUCACUCUAACACCUUGGAUCAGUAUAAGCUUUGAAUGACAUUUUCUUUAUUCCAGUCUCUUCCUUUGAAGGAGUAAUCAUAGUAUCUCUGGCCUUUUGACCACCUGACAUGUAACAUUAUUUUGAGAUGUUUCAGGUGCUUUUCAAAAGUUUUCCCGAUUCCAUUACUUUUUACAAGCAGAUAGCAACUUCUCCAUUUGAAGAUCUGAAAACUAAUUCUGGUACUGUUCCAAAUUCGAGCGUUAAAACUUCAAAAUUUUCCAAUAUUUUGAUUGGUUAAGCAUCACCGAUGUUAAUGUGAUGCUAUACAGAAUUUGUAUGGAGGUUGCUGUAGAUUGUGGUGGAUUGCUGAAAGUUCCUCUACUUUCAUUCAUUAUUCUUAUUAGCUUUGAGUUAUCCACAUGAUUGUGUGUAUACUUUCAUGUCUAAGCAUUUUCAAAAUCUCUACUUUGGCCACAUGGUCUCAGAGUGAUGGCAACGUUUUUAUGAACCAACUAAGAACAAAAUUACUCGUGUUGACAAAAACUGGAUAAUUGAAGAUAUAUUUCGGUAUAUUCAAAAUUGAGCAGUGAACAAAAAGUUUUAUACUUCAAAGAAGAUGAACACAAUAUUCAAUAUGAUAACAUAAAUUGUUGAAAGAGUUCGAUAAAGUACCGUCUAACAACUAGAAAAUAAUUUUUUUUGUCAACGAGUUUCGUCAUUUUGACCUUAUUUUGGCUGACAAAUGAUUGAAUAAUUUACUACCAAUACAAUAAAAUGAAUUGAAAAUUGAAUACUUUCAGAAGAGAUCAGUUUUUCAUAAAAGCUUUUUGGCUUCAUUCUGGUUCUUCAUCGUCAAACAAAAGUGUAGCAUUUUAUUCCAUAACAAAUGUUACGUAGCGCAAACUGAAUAGAGAAAGGUGAUUUUCGUGUCAUUCAAUGUUUGUAUGAAAGUACUUGUUUCAAAAGCAUUUUUUCUUUCGUGUAAUUCAAUGCUCAAGUGAAAGUAGGUGUUUUAGGAACGUUUUUUCUUCCAGUAUGCACUACAUACUGUUUGGCUAUGGAGAAGUGAAAAGUUAAUGUUUUUUU
rnacentral:lncRNA from 1 species